GAUUAAGCCAUGGAUGUCUAAGUAUAAGCAAUUAUACCGUGAAACUGCGAAUGGCUCAUUAAAUCAGUUAUCGUUUAUUUGAUAGUACCUUACUACUUGGAUAACCGUGGUAAUUCUAGAGCUAAUACAUGCUAAAAACCCCAACUUCGGGAGGGGUGUAUUUAUUAGAUAAAAAACCAAUGCCCUUCGGGGCUCCUUGGUGAUUCAUAAUAACUUCUCAGAUCGCAUGGCCUUGCGCCGGCGACGGUUCAUUCAAAUUUCUGCCCUAUCAACUUUCGAUGGUAAGGUAUUGGCUUACCAUGGUUU
rnacentral:rRNA from 1 species